CUUUCCCUCUUUCUUUAGGCCUAACACAUGCAAGUCGAACGGCAGCACAGUAAGAGCUUGCUCUUACGGGUGGCGAGUGGCGGACGGGUGAGGAAUACAUCGGAAUCUACUUUUUCGUGGGGGAUAACGUAGGGAAACUUACGCUAAUACCGCAUACGACCUACGGGUGAAAGCAGGGGAUCUUCGGACCUUGCGCGAUUGAAUGAGCCGAUGUCGGAUUAGCUAGUUGGCGGGGUAAAGGCCCACCAAGGCGACGAUCCGUAGCUGGUCUGAGAGGAUGAUCAGCCACACUGGAACUGAGACACGGUCCAGACUCCUACGGGAGGCAGCAGUGGGGAAUAUUGGACAAUGGGGGCAAGCCUGAUCCAGCCAUACCGCGUGGGUGAAGAAGGCCUUCGGGUUGUAAAGCCCUUUUGUUGGGAAAGAAAAGCAGCAGGUUAAUACCCCGCUGUUCUGACGGUACCCAAAGAAUAAGCACCGGCUAACUUCGUG
rnacentral:rRNA from 1 species